rnacentral:rRNA from 1 species
GAUGAACCGCACAAGACGUGCCUAACACAUGCAAAUCGAAUGAAAAGAAUUAAUUAUUGUUUUCAUGGUGAACGGGUGAGUAACACAUAAGAAUCGCUUUUAGAUAAGGCAUAAAAGAGUAAUAUCUUGGUAAUUCCUUAUAUGCGCAGCAGUGCUUAAAAAGGGGAGUCCCGUCUAAAAACGAGCUUAUGCCUGAUUAGCUAGUUGGCGAGUUAAAAGCUCACCAAGGCGAAGAUCAGUAGCUGGCCUGAGAGGGCGGCCAGCCACAUUGGGACUGAGACACGGCCCAAACUCCUACGGGAGGCAGCAGUGGGGAAUCUUCUGCAAUGGGCGCAAGCCUGACAGAGCGGCGUCGUGUGAAGGAAGAAGGCCUGAAAUAGGUUGUAAACUUCUUUUACUGAAUAAUGAAUAAUGACAACGCAGUAAAAAAGUAUCGGCUAACUCCGUGCCAGCAGCCGCGGUAAUACGGGGGAUGCAAGCGUUAUCCGGAAUCACUGGGCGUAAAGCGUCUGUAGGUGGUUUAGUGUGUUCUUAGUUAAAUUCUGAAGCCUAACUUCAUGAAAAGUAAGAAAACUAUUAGACUUGAGUACGAUAGGGGUAAGAGGAAUUCUUCGAGAAGUAGUGAAAUGCGAAGAUACGAAGGAGAAGAUCAUAAGCGAAGGCUUCUUACUGGGUCGUAACUGACACUGAGAGACGAAAGCUAGGGGAGCGAAUGGGAUUAG